AUUCCAGCUCCAAUAGCGUAUAUUAAAGUUGUUGCAGUUAAAAAGCUCGUAGUUGAACUUCUGGCGGAUGUUUUCGCUGGCUUCGGUCGCGUUAAUGUCUGUCAUCCGCUAGGGAACCUCGUUCGGUCUUCAUUGGUCGGCGGGAGGAUCUGGCAUUUUACUUUGAAAAAAUUAGAGUGUUCAAGGCAGGCAAUCGCCAUGAAUACACAAGCAUGGAAUAAUGGAAUAGGACUUAUGGUCAUUUUAUUGGUUAUUGACUGUAAGUAAUGAUUAAUAGGGACAGUUGGGGGCAUUAGUAUUAAUUGUCGGAGGUGAAAUUCUUGGAUUUAUUAAAGACUAACUUAUGCGAAAGCAUUUGCCAAGGAUGUUUUCAUCA
rnacentral:rRNA from 1 species